rnacentral:rRNA from 1 species
CAUAUCACGUUGAAACGCCGAUUCUCGUACGAUCACCGUAGUUAAGCAACGUCGAUCCUGGUCAGUACUUAGAUGGGUGACCACUGGGGAAUACCAGGUUCUGUAAG